CACGUAGGAUCCAAGCGUUAUCCGGAUUUACUGGGCGUAAAGCGCGUGCAGGUGGUCUGGAAAGUUGGGUGUUAAAUCUUUCGGCUCAACCGAGAGGUGUCGCUCAAAACUCCCAGACUGGAGGACGGUAGAGGUAGGCAGAAUUCCGGGUGUAGUGGUGAAAUGCGUAGAUAUCCGGAGGAAUACCAGUGGCGAAGGCGGCCUACUGGACCGUUCCUGACACUCAGACGCGAAAGCUAGGGGAGCAAACGGGAUUAGAAACCCCCGUAGUCC
rnacentral:rRNA from 1 species